CAGGCCCCCGUCCUCCAGGCCCCCAUCCUCCAGGCCCCUGUUCCUCCAGACCCUCGUCCUCCAGACCCUCAUUCUCCAGGCCCCCGUCCUCCAGGCUCCAUCCUCCAGGGCUCCUCUGGGUCCGGGUCAAGUACCUCCAGGCUCUCUGCUGACUGUUCACCACUGGGCAACCACAGGGACUCGAUCCAUGAAAACUCUGGCAAGCCCCUUCAGGAUUCCUGCUGCGACCACCUGACCCAUGCAAAAGAGACCACUUCUCAGCCUCUCUCACUCUCCUGGCCCUGGCGGAAGCCUGUGUUGUCAUAGGCAUGCUUCCCUGGAAUCCUGCUCAGGCCCCCACGCAGGGACACUGAGUGCCCACAGAGUUGGGAAACCAUUACACGAGAUGGGACGUCUGCAAUAGAGUGGCAUCGCUAGUUGAAAGUGGAGCUGUUCACAACCUCCACAACUGUACUUGGUGGCCACGUCCCCAUCACAUGGGCUCAGACUGGGGGCUGGACAUUGACUUUGAGCCCCAAGUCUUCACCCUCAUGCAAAAACCAUCCUCCUUGGAGAUGCAGGCUGGGAAGGGCGCCAUGUCCGGAGUCCCUGCCCUGCUGUCAUCUGCCGACCUUUGUGCAGCCUGUCCCUUUCGUUAAGAAUUUCAGCACUGAGUUCACUGUGUUCCUUGUCAUGCUAAGACUUGGCCACAUCCCAGCCAUCUUCAACAUGGCGGUCGAUGUUUCAUCAAAAUUCACAGUCGCUCAGAUUUUAUUUUUCCUCAUCUCUAGGAACUUCCAUCUCCACUCCACUUCUGCCACUUCUGCCACCCUCCCAUGACCACACUCAGAACUUGAGCUCCACCUCUGAAAGAGGGUAUGCAAAUGUCCUUUCUGCCCAGGAUGUCCUAAGCUCCUAACAUUCUCCCUUUGUCUGAAUCCUAAAGCCCUCCAAUCCCCUAUUCCCCUGUGAGCCCCCUCCUGUCUAUCCUUCCUUCCUGCUUCUCCAGCCUGAUUUCCACAGUGCUCACUUCACCCACCGUCUUCCUCACUGCUGUUUCCCACUGUCUCUGUGCCUAUGCCAUCUGCCUAGCAUGGCCGACACCUACCUUGAAUUGUUGCCACUCUCAACGCAUGAUCUCAGCGCCAUCCAGGCACUCAGGGCUGGCGCCCUCCUCUUUCUGUUUAUCCUUCUCCACCCCUGCUCACUUCCAUUUUGCACACUUUGGGGAUGAUACUUUCCAUCAGUUCACAUAGAAAGUCAACAAAUGGGAACCACCUCAGCUAUCACCCAUGUGGACUUCCGCUUUUGACUAUGGAGUCACUGGUACCAGGCUAGCCUCCCACCAUGAGUAACUCUAAAACUACAUAAGUAACAGUCUGCAGAUGCUGAGCAGCAGGCAGUGCCAGACAGCGAUCCCUGAGAGAAGGGAAACAAUAGGGGGAGUCCCAUGGCUGCCUUGGUUUCCUGGAGACGCUCUCCAGACUACAGCACAGGGAGGGGAACCCAAAUAGCACUGAAGUCCCAUCGGGCUGAGGAGACAGAGGUCAGAAUUGGAAGCUUCUGAGGCAGGCGGGUUAUCAAGGUAAGAGAAGGAAGCUCCAGAAAUAUAAAAGUGUGUCCUUUGAGCUUUUCAUCAAAUACUAUGCUGUUCGUGCCCACAAGGCCAGGCUAAGUAGCCCCUGGGGACAGAACAAUCACUGGGGAGGCUAAACUGAACAACUAGUGUAGGGUUCGUGGGGCUGGAAAGCAUUUGAGCUCAGAGCAGCCAGAGGUGUUGACCACUUCAAGCAUUCAAUAAAGGCCAUGCCGUAAAAAGAAGGCUGAUCUUUCUAGAGGAAAGCUACUCAAAAUCCAUUCGAACAAAACUUUAAAACAAGUCUUGCAGGAAUCAAGUUAACCUGCAAGUAAAUUAACUGCUUGUAUUAGUUCACUCAGGUUGCUGUAACAAAAUACUACACAUUGUGUAGCUUAACCAACAGAAGUGUACUUUCUCACAAUUCUGGUGCCCAGAAGUCCAAGAUAGGGUGUCAGCACAUCUGGUUUCUACUGAGGCCUCUUUCUGCUUGCAGAUGGCUUUUUUUCCCCAUAUCUCACAUGGUCUUUCCUCUGUGCACGCACAUCUCUGGCGACUCUUUUCUUAUAAGGACACCAGUCAAAUUGAACCAGGGCCCACCCUAAGAGCCUCAUUUUAACCUGAUUACCCCUUUUAAGACACUGUCUCCAAAUGUAGUCACAUUCUUAGGUAAUGGAAUUUAAGGCUUCAUAUAUGAAUUUGGGGGAAAUAAUUCAACCGAUAACACUACCUGAGAGAGCAAAGCAUUCAACACUUUACUAAUGAAGACAGCAAAACCUAAAUACACAACAUAACAUCCCUAACGUCUAACAGAAAAUCAGAAGUUACUAGAUGUGUGGAGAGAACUAGGAAAUAUGGCCCAUAAUCAUUAGAAAAAUCAGUGAACAAAAACAGACUUAGACAUGGCAUAAAAUGUUCAAAGAUUGAAAGAAAAACAUAAUAUAAUAAAGGAACAAAAAGGAAUCUCAGUAGAUAAAUGGAAACUAAAAAUUAACCAGGUACAAAUUUUAGAAAUAAAAAAUACAACAUCUGAAAUGAAAAAUACACUGUAUGGGUUUUUGAUUAGAUACUAUUAGAUGCUGCAGAGGAAUGGUCAGUUUACUUGAAGUGAAGCCAGUGCAAGAUAAACUAUGCGAACUAGAGCAUAAAGUGAAAAAGGGCUAAACAAAUAAACAAGAUUCCAAUGACCGGUGAGACAAUGUCAAGCAAUCUAACAUACAUGUAAUUGAUGUACCAGUAGGAGAGGAGAGAAAAAAAUCUUUUAAAGAAAUACUUGAUCAAGAAUGAGUAUUGAGUAAAUAUUCAUUAGAUUUUUCUGAAGUUGGUGAAAAGUAUAAACCUACAAAUCUUAGAGGCUCAAAGAACUUCAAGGAAGAUAAAUACCAAAAAUAUCACAUCAAGGCACAGCAUGAUUCGUCUGUUGAAAAUCCGGUGAUUUAAAAAACUCUUAAAGCAGCUGGAGGAAAAGACUUCUAUAAUUUGAAUGUCCCUCCAAACUCAUGUCGAAACUUAAUCCCCAAUGUGGCCGUAUUGAGAGGUGGGGCCUUUAACAGGUGAUUGGAUCGUGAGAGCUCUGCUCUCAUGAAUGAAUUAAUCCACUCAUGAAUUAAUGGAUUCAUGGGAUGAUGGAUUCAUGGGUUAUUGUGGAAGGGGACCUGGUGGCUUUAUAAGAAGAGAGACCUGUGCUAGGACAUGAACACACUCAGCGCCCUCACCAUGGAAUACCCUGGGCUGCCUUGGGACACAUCUGAGAGUCCCCACCAGCAAGAAGGCGCUCAAGAGAUACAACCCCUCAACCUUGGACAUCCCAGUCUCCAGAACUGUAAGAGAUGAAGUUCAUUUCUUAUAAAUGACCAGUUUCAACUUAGCAACAGAAAAUAGGCUAAGACAAAGACAUACAGCAUGGAGGAGAACAUAAUAACAAUAAUGACUGAUAACACAGUAUUAUUUACUCAACACUCAUUCUUGAUCAAGUAUUUCUUUUUAUCUGAUAAUGCAAACCAGAAGACAAUGGGAUAACAUGUGUAAGUGCUAGGGAAAAGUUCUAUACUCUGAAAAUAUGCUUUCAGAACAAUUGCAGAGUUGAUUCAUUGUGACAAAGACUGUAAGGCCUCCAAAACCUACAAUAUUUACUAUCUAGCCGUUUAAAAAAAUCCAGGCUGGUUGCAGUGGCUCACGCCACAAUCCCAGCACUUAGGGAGGCCUAGGUGGGCAGAUCACCUGAGGUCAGGAACAGCCUGGCCAACAUGGUGAAAUUCCAUCUCUACUAAAAAUACAAUAAUUAGUCAGGCAUGGUAGCUCAUGCUUGCAAUCCCA
rnacentral:lncRNA from 10 species